rnacentral:rRNA from 1 species
UGGCUCAGGAUGAACGCUAGCGGCAGGCCUAACACAUGCAAGUCGAGGGGUAGAGUUUCUUCGGAGACUUGAGACCGGCGCACGGGUGCGUAACGCGUAUGCAAUCUGCCCUUUACUGGGGAAUAGCCCGGAGAAAUUCGGAUUAAUGCCCCAUAUGCCCGUAGAGUCGCCUGGUUCAGCGGGGAAAGUUCCGACGGUAAAGGAUGAGCAUGCGUCCCAUUAGCUAGUUGGUGAGGUAACGGCUCACCAAGGCGACGAUGGGUAGGGGGCCUGAGAGGGUGAUCCCCCACACUGGUACUGAGACACGGACCAGACUCCUACGGGAGGCAGCAGUGAGGAAUAUUGGGCAAUGGAGGCAACUCUGACCCAGCCAUGCCGCGUGCAGGAAGACGGCCCUCUGGGUUGUAAACUGCUUUUGUUUGGGAAUAAACCCUUCUACGUGUAGGAGGCUGAAGGUACCAUACGAAUAAGGAUCGGCUAACUCCGUGCCAGCAGCCGCGGUAAUACGGAGGAUCCAAGCGUUAUCCGGAUUUAUUGGGUUUAAAGGGUCCGUAGGCGGGUCUUUAAGUCAGUGGUGAAAGCCCACAGCUCAACUGUGGAACUGCCAUUGAUACUGGAGAUCUUGAGUGUAGUAGAAGUAGGCGGAAUAGGGCAUGUAGCGGUGAAAUGCAUAGAUAUGCCCUAGAACACCGAUUGCGAAGGCAGCUUACUAUGUUACAACUGACGCCGAGGGACGAAAGCGUGGGGAGCAAACAGGAUUAGAUACCCUGGUAGUCCACGCUGUAAACGAUGAUUACUCGCUGUUGGCGACAUACAGUCAGCGGCCAAGCGCAACCAUUCAGUAAUCCACCUGGGGAGUACGC